GACGAACGCUGGCGGCGUGCUUAACACAUGCAAGUCGAACGGUGAUGCUCCAGCUUGCUGGAGUGGAUCAGUGGCGAACGGGUGAGUAACACGUGAGCAACCUGCCCCAGACUCUGGAAUAAGCGCUGGAAACGGCGCCUAAUACUGGAUACGAAACUGGCCCGCAUGGGCAUGGUUUGGAAAGUUUUUCGGUUUUGGAUGGGCUCGCGGCCUAUCAGCUUGUUGGUGAGGUAAUGGCUCACCAAGGCGACGACGGGUAGCCGGCCUGAGAGGGCGACCGGCCACACUGGGACUGAGACACGGCCCAGACUCCUACGGGAGGCAGCAGUGGGGAAUAUUGCACAAUGGGCGAAAGCCUGAUGCAGCGACGCCGCGUGAGGGAUGACGGCCUUCGGGUUGUAAACCUCUUUCAGCAGGGAAGAAGCGAUAGUGACGGUACCUGCAGAAGAAGCACCGGCUAACUACGUG
rnacentral:rRNA from 1 species